UACGUAGGGGGCAAGCGUUGUCCGGAAUCAUUGGGCGUAAAGAGCGUGUAGGCGGCCAGAUAAGUCCGCUGUGAAAUCUCGAGGCUCAACUUCGAGCUGUCGGUGGAAACUGUCUGGCUAGAGUCCGGAAGAGGAGAAUGGAAUUCCCGGUGUAGCGGUGAAAUGCGCAGAUAUCGGGAAGAACACCUGUGGCGAAGGCGGCUCUCUGGGACGGUACUGACGCUGAGACGCGAAAGCGUGGGGAGCAAACAGG
rnacentral:rRNA from 1 species